ACAGUUCUCACGGUGCAUGCCCGCGCGUCCGUUACCUAGCAUGUGCGUCAUCUCCACACCAAUCGUAUAACAUGAAAUUCAGGGUUUCAUACCCUCAGAACCAAAUUUAGAAGUGUUACUUACCUCAAACUGUGCAAAUCCCUACACCGACAAGUCCUUGCCUCGCGAAACGGCCUCCCAAUGCCUCGAAUUUAGCCACAAACAGUUCGAUACAAUCAACACGAGCUAAAGGAAUCAAUUCUAUAAGAAAAUACUAAGUUCUAAAUCAAAAGUAAAAAAGUCAACUCAAAAGUCACCCCGACGCCCAUGUCUCGGAAUCUAACAAAAGUCCCAAAAUUCAGAAGCUUAUUCAACCACGAGUCCUAUCAUACCAAAUUUACCAAAACUCCCCAAAUUCCUAUCCUCAAUUCCCAAAAUUACACCUCAAUGCGGGAAAUGCAAUAGGAAAACAUAAUUAUUGAUUAAAAAUAAGCACAAGUGACUUACCUCAAGAAUCCCUCUCAAAAAUUGCCUAAUCCCGAGCUUGUAAUGUCCAAAAUGAUGAAAAAUCAUGAAACCCUCGAUUUAAAUACACUGCCUAGGCUUUCCGCACAUGUGAUGACUUAACUGCAUUUGCAGGGUUGCAGAAGCGACAACUCUCCCGUGUCUGCGAUAAACCACUGGAAACCCAGCCUUCGCACCUGGGGAACAUGCUACGCUUCUGCACAAAUGCAGUGUGACCUCGUUUUCACUCCUGCACUGACCCCUCGCUCCUGCGCUCAACCUCACGUCACAUGCGACCAUGCAGGUGCGGACAAUCCUUCAAACCUGCGACCACUGCAUUCCUCUCUCAUGGACGCACCUGCGCUUCCUUGCUCGCACCUACGAUUAAAGCUCCACAUGUGCGAUUGCCCCAGAACUGGUGCUUAAACAAUCACUGGCCAUAACUCCACUCGAGGCCCUUGGGACCUUAACCAAAAAUAUGAACAAGUCCUAAAAUACGACACAAACUUAGUUGAGCCUUCAAAUCAUAUCAAACAAUGCUAAAACUACGAAUCGCACAUCGAUUCAAGUCUAACGAACUUUUGAACUUCCAACUUUCACAUCUAAUGCUGAAAUAUAUCAAAUCACGUCUGAUUGACAUCAAAUUUUGCGCACGUCACAAAAAACACGACGCACCUAAUCCAAGUAUUGAAACCCAAUUCAAGCCCUAUAACCAUAAAGUCCCCUCUUGGUCAAACUUCAAAAUUUUUAACUUUCAUCAUUUCAAGCCUAAUUCAACUGCGGACCUCCAAUUCAAAAUCCAGACACACUCCUAAGUCCAAAACACCCAAAGCAGAUCACGAAACCAUAAAAACUCCAUUUUGGAGUCGUUUGCACAUAAGUUAAUAUCCGAUCAACCUAUUCAACUUGAGCUUCCAUCUUGGAGACUAAGUGUCUCAACUCAUUCUGAAAUCUCCC
rnacentral:lncRNA from 1 species